AUUGAACGCUGGCGGCAGGCUUAACACAUGCAAGUCGAGCGGAGCGAGGGUGCUUGCACCUUAGCUUAGCGGCGGACGGGUGAGUAAUGCUUAGGAAUCUGCCUAUUAGUGGGGGACAACAUCUCGAAAGGGAUGCUAAUACCGCAUACGUCCUACGGGAGAAAGCAGGGGAUCUUCGGACCUUGCGCUAAUAGAUGAGCCUAAGUCGGAUUAGCUAGUUGGUGGGGUAAAGGCCUACCAAGGCGACGAUCUGUAGCGGGUCUGAGAGGAUGAUCCGCCACAAUGGGACUGAGAAACGGCCCAGACUCCUACGGGAGGCAGCAGUGGGGAAUAUUGGACAAUGGGCGCAAGCCUGAUCCAGCCAUGCCGCGUGUGUGAAGAAGGCCUUAUGGUUGUAAAGCACUUUAAGCGAGGAGGAGGCUACUCUAGUUAAUACCUAGGGAUAGUGGACGUUACUCGCAGAAUAAGCACCGGCUAACUCUGUGCCAGCCGCCGCCGUAAAAC
rnacentral:rRNA from 1 species